rnacentral:pre_miRNA from 1 species
UCAGGACACCAGAGGACCAUAGAGCAAAUUACUUCUUCCACAGUGCUAAAUGGUCCCCUGGUGCCCUGGGA